CCGCAGCUUUUCAUCACAUUGUACGUCGUACAGUAACUAUGGCAGAUACAGGCAUGUAUGAUCUUUCUGAUUACAAAGAUUUUGCUACUUUACCUUUAACUGGGGAUGGUGUUUUUGGUAAUGGACUUGAACCUUUAUUAAAGGCACGGAAGGACAAAAAGAAACAGUUAGAUGAUAUGUUACCUGAGCUGAAAAAGAGAGACAGGAAAAGAAGGCUCUCACCUGUUCGUUCUUCAAAUGACACUAAACGUUUACGUAGGGACAUUCCAGCAACGCAAACAAGCAGUGGCUGGGACAAUAAUUUUCGUAUCCCCAAGAUUCCAUCAGAUAGUCAUACCAAGGGGCAAAAUUUCACUGGACAGUACAAGAAAAAUUCCAAGCCCGAUUUCUUUCCAAAACGUUCAUAUGGAAGGAAAAUGGGAAGAUCAACUCAACAAUGACCAUAAUGCCUGAAGAAGCCACCAUUUGAACCGAUGAAGGACGCAUCUUUGAAGUUUAUUACAUGGAAGGUGUGUUUUUUGAUAGCUAUUUCCUGUUUUCGUCGUUGUAGUGAUCUUCAAGCCUUGUAUUUGGGAGAAGGUAACAUAAACAUUCAGAAGAAAGGAAUAACUUUUAUACGUUCAGGUUUAGCAAAACAAGAUAGACCAAGUCAUCAUUCAAGAAAGAUUUUCAUUCCAUCUUUUUCGAGGGAAAAAUUUUUAGACCCUAAGAGGGCUUUGACUUAUUACUUGAAAAAGACUGAAAGUUUUUAGAGUUAAAGACUCUAAAAAUGAACUUAAACUUUUCUUAAGUGUUAUUAAACCUCAUCAUCCAGUGACAAGUCAGACUAUUUCUAAAUGGUUAGUUAAUAUUAUUAAGUAUGCUUACAAAAUGAGUAAGAAAUCUACUGGAAAAAUUAAAGGUCACCAGACUAGAAGUAUUGGGCCUUCCUGGGCAUUGUUUCAAAGGUGCGUCGUUGGAUCAGGUACUGGAUGCGGCAGAUUGGUCUUCAGAGACCACCUUCAUUAAACAUUAUCUCAAAAACGUAGAUACAAGUGUUUUGGAUUUCAAGUAAAUGUUGUUACAGAAGUUAUUGUUUUUCACCAAGGUGGUGUGUACAAACUCUUUGUUUUUCCGGCGAAUUGCGACUGGAUGUUUUUUUGUAAAUUUGAGUAUUUACGGUUAUUCUUGUACAGUUGGGAUGAACUUAUAUAUAUUGUUGUGCAACUGUAAAUAGUGGGUUAGCAGUUAUACAUGUUCAACUGGUAUUGUUUUACUUAACAUGGUGUGGAAAUAUUGGGAAACACUUUAGUUUCAGGGCGAUUUGGUCGCCUCAUUUGAAACUGACAUCUUUAACACGUGGCGGAAGUAAGGGGAGUUAAUUGAAGAGCUUACUUCCGGUGUUAAUAGUUUAGCGAAUUGUGAGAAAUUAACGGAAGGAAUCCAUAUGGUACUGUCGGGUAAGUAUUAUUUACUCAUAAAACUUAAAUUUGA